AGAGUUUGAUCCUGGCUCAGGACGAACGCUGGCGGCGUGCCUAACACAUGCAAGUCGAGCGAUGAUGUUUCCUUCGGGAAACUGAUUAGCGGCGGACGGGUGAGUAACACGUGAGCAACCUGCCUCAAAGAGGGGGAUAGCCUCCCGAAAGGGAGAUUAAUACCGCAUAAUAUCAGAGUUUCGCAUGAUUUUCUGAUUAAAGGAGUAAUCCACUUUGAGAUGGGCUCGCGGCGCAUUAGCUAGUUGGUGAGGUAACGGCUCACCAAGGCGACGAUGCGUAGCCGACCUGAGAGGGCGACCGGCCACAUUGGGACUGAGACACGGCCCAAACUCCUACGGGAGGCAGCAGUGGGGAAUAUUGCACAAUGGGGGAAACCCUGAUGCAGCGGCGCCGCGUGAGCGAAGAAGUAUUUCGGUAUGUAAAGCUCUAUCAGCAGGGAAGAAAAUGACGGUACCUGACUAAGAAGCCCCGGCUAACUACGUGCCAGCAGCCGCGGUAAUACGUAGGGGGCAAGCGUUAUCCGGAUUUACUGGGUGUAAAGGGAGCGUAGACGGGACAGCAAGUCUGAUGUGAAAGGCGGGGGCUCAACCCCCGAACUGCAUUGGAAACUGUUGACCUGGAGUGCCGGAGAGGUAAGCGGAAUUCCUAGUGUAGCGGUGAAAUGCGUAGAUAUUAGGAGGAACACCAGUGGCGAAGGCGGCUUACUGGACGGUAACUGACGUUGAGGCUCGAAAGCGUGGGGAGCAAACAGGAUUAGAUACCCUGGUAGU
rnacentral:rRNA from 1 species